GGCAAGAUGGCCGAGUGGUUAUGGCGUGUGACUCAAGCGAAAGCUUGCCUGUUCACCAGGCAGUAUUCUCAUGGGCUUUGCCCGCGGGGGUUCGAAUCCCCCUCUUGUCA